UAUAAUCAUAUAUUAGUAUAAAAUUAUUUUCAAUAUGCUAUAAUGAUAACUAGAUCUUGACCCGCCCGGCUGGGCGGGUGUUUGGUUUAACUUGUAAAAUUAAUUAUUAUCAACUUAUAUCCAAUAGGAAAUUGUUGGGUUGUAUAAAGUAUGGUCCACAUUAUUCGCUAUCAUAUGAUUGUUAUUGUAUUUAAUGUAUUUGUAACACGAAAAAAUACAAAUACCUUAGUAUAUAUAUAUAUAUAUAUAUAUAUAUUUUGCAUUGUUUAUUUGAUAUUGUAACCCUAAUAUAGAAAAAUGUUAUUUUAAAUUAAUAAUUACAUAUCUAUAGUAUUAACAAAAAAUUUUUGAGAGAACUAUAUGUUUACCUAUGUAUUAUAUAUAAACUAUAAAUACCAAUAACUAUAAUAAACCAACAAAAAAUUUGGUGGCCCAAUAAAUAAUGGAGUUAUCAAAAUGGAUCAUAAUAGCAAAUUAAAUAAUGUGGCCAAUUGUAUAGUAACAGUUCUCGUUAAACCUAAAAAAUUAAGGUUUUCUCUAUCUAUCUCUCUCUCUCGGCAAGAUGAUCUUUCAUCUUCUCACCUAAAUCAUUACGAUAUCAAAUCGAAAAUUCCAUCGGUGAAGAUGGUUCUGUUUAAUCAAGAUUCAACUUGUCUUCAUAGCUUCAACCUCGUCCAUCAAUUCUGAUCUUCUUCAGAUAUGUUCUCCAUGACCAUCAAUACAGUGUUGGUUCAGACUAUCACCAAAGGUUUAUUCAUAAACAGUGACUUUAUGCAUCUGAAAAGAUCAGCCUGAUGACCAAUUAUUUAACCACAUGACCCUGAUAUGUCCACAGAGAACAGAACAGCAGCUCGAAGAUGCGCCAAGGCGAGUAUACUACAGAUCUCGAUGACGUUACAUUGCUCAAACACCUUGUACAGAAUCACAGUGGUUUUAGUGACCUAAAACCUGAAGAAUACUAUGAUUCGGCUCCGAGAUUGUGUAAGUUAACCUUCUAUAGUUUAACAAUCCAACAUUUAGACAAAGUUUGGAGCAGUUUUUUAGUUCUGAAGAUAUGUUUGAGUUCAAAUCGUCUUGCAGUUUGAUUCUUUGGGGGUUUGUCAAUAAUUAAAUUUUUACUUCUCACACUUGAUUUGAGUUCAAAUCGCAUUAGAGAUUUACAUGUGUUUUAUCCCGAGAUCUUUCAUCUACUUUGUUAUGCUUAUACAUUUAUAAUAGUUACAGGAAAUCUGAAAUGUACUAAUCUAAUUUUGUUGACUUAUUCAAAUGUUGCGUAUCAGACGUACUUAGAAUGUGAAAAUGUGACCGAAACUGAGGAAGAGAGUAUGGUGUGAGGCUUAUUAACUGGUCGGUGGCAGAGAACAAAGCGUGGAUCAAGUCUUUAGAACAAAGUGAAGGUUAGUGAUAUACGGGCUUUCUUUCCGUCAUCGUUUGUCACAUUGAUAUGUAAAUAUUAUUAGUUCAUAAAAUCAUAUAAUUUAGAAUCCGAUCAAAUUAGAGUUGAGAUUAAAGUCUGUUAUAUCAAUAGUGUUUAGGUUAUGGCUGCUUCU